GACGAACGCUGGCGGCGUGCUUAACACAUGCAAGUCGAGCGAUGAAGCACCUUCGGGUGUGAAUUAGCGGCGAACGGGUGAGGAACACGUGAGAAAUCUGCCUUCAACACUGGGAUAACUCCGGGAAACCGGGGCUAAUACCGGAUAUGAAACCUGCGGGCAUCCGCGGGUUUGGAACGUUUUUCGGUUGAAGAUGAUCUCGCGGCCUAUCGGCUUGUUGGUGAGGUAAUGGCUCACCAAGGCGACGACGGGUAGCCGGCCUGAGAGGGCGACCGGCCACACUGGGACUGAGACACGGCCCAGACUCCUACGGGAGGCAGCAGUGGGGAAUAUUGGGCAAUGGAGGAAACUCUGACCCAGCGACGCCGCGUGCGGGAUGAAGGCCUUCGGGUUGUAAACCGCUUUCAGCAGGGAAGAAGCGAAAGUGACGGUACCUGCAGAAGAAGCACCGGCUAACUAUGUGCCAGCCGCCGCGGUAA
rnacentral:rRNA from 1 species